rnacentral:lncRNA from 1 species
CUGACUUCUGUCCGUUGGACUUCUUUCUUUUCUUGCCUUUGGUAGGAGUCUCUUCAACAAUAUUAACUCCCAUGAUUGUCAAGCUCCCACGAGACUUAUUUUCGACGGUCUUGUUAUCUUCCUCAAUCUUGAGCCGAAUCACAAGAUCUUCAAGUUUCAUUUCCUUGCGUUUGUGCUUUAAAUAAUUCUUGAAGUCAUUCCACGAAGGCGG